UGCAUUGGAGUGUGGUUUAUCUA
rnacentral:siRNA from 1 species